AUCCACAUGCAUUUAUACAGUUGAAAAGUACAAUACGCCACGUAUCAUGUGAACGCCUUCAGUCCCAGCACUUGGGAGCAGAGGCAGGCGUAGUUCCAUGAGUGUGAGGCCAGCCUGGUCUACAAAGCAAGUUAUAGGCCAGUCAAGUCUACGCAGUGAACACCUGUCUUAAAAUUAGAAGGAAAAAAAUUCACUUUGAGACCAUUGCCACAUUUCUUAAAGGAAGACUCCAAGGUUGUGAGUGUUUUCGUCAUGGUCCUCCUCACUGGUCGCAGUCUUGCUAUGUGCAGUCAUCCCAUAAAUGUGCUCUGGUUUCCAAAGCUGUAUGCAGUUGGCUUGUUCCUCCCCUGCUGCACUCUCACAUCGUCUUUAGAAUCUUGCUCUGUGCUGCGGUUAUUUGUGAAGGACCAUAUAAAUGCGGCAAACUGGAGCAGAAAAGCCUGUUGCUUGCUAAUCUUUGUGGAGGAAGCACAAGACUGUUGGUUUUCAUGUAUAAAGAUUUUUCUAUAUAUGACAUCACAAGAGAGGUUUGGUUGAGUUUUUGUGCUUCUAGGAAAGAAAAGGAAAGAAAAGGACGGAACGACUCUACCCUCUGUGCUAAGCAGAGCCAGCUGGUGACCACAACCGUGCUUUUUCUCCAUACGGGACCCAAAGAGCACUGCCCAACACACUCUAGACCUUAGUGGCUGUCAGUUUAAUCAACUGAAAAAAAUCACUUUUCUAUGACCAAAAAGCGUGUCUAUAGGUAACUCCUAGCCUGCACGGCUCUGAAGAGGAACUUUUAGAAAAGUACAGCACUGGAAGUUGUAUCAAUGUCAAGUCAUGUGUGCUUUGUGCUACAAGAACGUUAAAUUUCUGGUCUUUAUUUUAAGCAGCUGACUGUGAAAAAGAAAGGGAUUUGGGAUGUGCAAGAGCCCAUCUAAGACCGCCUAUAUGACUAUAUUAAAAGAUAUUUUUCUUACACAAAUCUGCUUGAAGCUGCUCUUUGUUUGAUAUGCCAUCUUGUCUUUACAUAGUAGAUAAUUCAUUCACAACUUUCAUGCAGGUAGAUAAAUGUAUUCAAAUGAGUGAUCUGUAUAUUUUGUGUCACAUCCAACAUAAUCAGGGAUCUGAGUUAAAAUUUAUGCUGCACUGUUCUUUAACCCCAAAUUCCUAACACUCCGUGUGUCUCUCACAGUAACGCUUUGUCUCUUAGCAUGACUACCGGUAUGGCUUGGUCACAAGCACAUACUGUUCUUUGCAGUCUGAAUAUUCCCAAUAAUAAUUGUACUUUUUCUUUCCCUUUUUCUUUUUCCCUUUCCCCUGCCCCUGCAUAGGUUAGAAAGGCUGGUGGAUGUCCUGAGGAAGAAGGUUGGAACAGGGACCGUGAGGACCGUGAUCUGACUGAAAGCCACCCAGUCUGGGGGAGCAAUCACAUCUGGUGACCAGGCUGCCUCAUUCAACACUGUGUAAACACUAAAAGCCUUAACUUAGCAAACAGUUGUUAGAAGUGGGACACUCCAAGCACAUUCCAAGCUGAGAUAAAAUCAAAUCACAAAUGUUUAACCACUUUGCUGCUGACUACAGUUAUUUAUCCAAAUAUAUUAACUACAGGCUUUUACCAACUAGAACAUUGCAGCUUAUUUUGUAGCUAUUUUAUAUUUGUGCCUUUAAUGUAAAUCUUUUAGCCGGUAUGCUAUAAAAAAUGUGUGAAGUCAGUUGGGAUCGGAGCCCCGCAUAUGGCCCUUUCUGAAUCAAAGUGCAGCAAAGUAAAUAUUGUCCAAGCCUUAAUCCACUGUGUUAGGUCAAAACUUCAAAUAAAUGCGUUUUCAGUAUAGAGUAUAUUUCUUAACUGAUGGGAGAAGCUCAGACAUGAGAGAAUGUAGCCUACCUUCAGUGUAUGUAUACAGCUUUUGUUCAUACUAUUGAAGAAUAUAGUAUAGAUGGCAUGAAUUAAAUGUAUAAUUUGCUUUAAUAGGACAUUAAAAUGGCAAUCACC
rnacentral:lncRNA from 1 species